UACACGUAUUUUGUUCCUUUUAUCAAUGACACAGUCUUUCUAAGAUGAUCUAUUAUCUCUCUGCCAUUUUGUUUUCACAAAUCUUUUCUUCUCCUCUUUCCCUUUUGCCUUUGAUCUGAACUUGUCAUUUCAUCAAUAUUGGAAAACUCAGUGUGAUGACUUCCAGAAUGGUAACAUGUAUGUCAUAGUCCCCAAGAAUUUGAGGGGAUUCUAAGAGAUGAAACGAUUUGCCUAUGGUCACACUACCAAGAUGAGGCAGAGUCAGAACUUCAGUGCAUAUCUUCCUAUCUCCAGAUCUACCCUCUCUCAUUCCUUCACACCAUACUGUGUCCCUUAUCUGCUUUAUUUCACUUUGGAAUGGCUGCUCUCAACAGUUGCAAGACAUGAUGCUUUUCAGGUCCAGGAGGCUCCUCACUAUUACCAUCAAUCACCAUAAAAGGCAUCCAUUUGAACUGUCAAGCUUGGAUACACCAGAGAGGUGAUACACAAAGAACGUGAGUAAUGGAGUAAGAAGAGACUUCUCUUUACAUCCUGCCCCCAGCCAUGGACUGAUGUUGGGUUCUGAAUCUUUUUUAUGUUUAUUUAUGUAGAUAGUGUCUCCUCUAGUAUGAUGUAAGCUUAUCAAAGGCAUCUUUUGGUCUUUGUAUCCUAUGCCAAACCUCAUGCCUGGUUCUUACUAGAGGCUUCUGGAGAUGCUUUUCCUCUAAGCAAAUCCCCUAAUAUCUCCCAGUCUCAGUUUACUCAUCUGCAAAAUGGAAAUUAUAAAACCUAUAUUAUUUCCCAGGAUAGUGAGGAUCAAAUGGAAGAAUAUACAUAAAAUGCUAUAUUAAUAAUGGUUAUUGACAUUAUCACCAAAAUCAUAAAUGAAAAUAAUAAUAGAUCCUUGACACAUUGGGUGAGCUAAUUUAUGAGUCUAUUAUGGCCAAAUUAUGAGAAGAUGUGAAGGAGAGUCACACAGUAUAGAAAUGUGUGGAUGGUUUGUGAUAUGUAAUAUUUC
rnacentral:lncRNA from 1 species